rnacentral:rRNA from 1 species
CAGCCGUAAACUAUGCGCGUUAGGUGUACUGGUGACCACGAGUCACCGGGGUGCCGAAGGGAAACCGUGAAACGUGCCGCCUGGGAAGUACGGUCGCAAGGCUGAAACUUAAAGGAAUUGGCGGGGGAGCACCACAACAGGUGGAGCCUGCGGUUUAAUUGGACUCAACGCCGGGAAGCUCACCGGAUAGGACAGCAGAAUGAUUGCCGGGCUGAAGACCCUGCAUGACUAGCUGAGAGGAGGUGCAUGGCG